UGAAAAUGACAUCACAACAAGUUAACUCUCUGUGGUUCAGCGAGUAUUUUAGUUUGUUGGAGUGUGAUACGCGAGAGCGAGAGGAGCGUCAACCUUCUCACGGGCAUGUCCUGCCACUGCAAAUCCCCACCCACGUGAGAGGUGCUCGUGAGGGCGAGUGGUAGCAGCGUUUGUGUGGAACGGCCUGGCGAUCUGCUGGACCGUGGCGGGAAAAUUCAAUAUGGCUGCCCCCCCCCCCCCAAUCCACCUCCCCCUCAGCAGUAGAAGGUGUAAUCUGAGAACGGACACCGAAAAAGGGGGAGCGAGACUACUCGUGAUGACACCUGACUCGGCCUUGAAUAAAAGCAGCUGUUGGAUUGCUGGUUGAUCCUUACAGGGAUAGCAGCUAAUCAGCCUCACCCCCCAGAAAAGCUUUGAUUUAACCUAACCCUAGCUGGAGGUGGAGCAUUAAAAACACGAAUGUCAUGUUACAAAAGUAACCCUGCUUUUUUUUAUCUCCUCUUCAUGAAAGUCCAAUGGACUGGACCAAUGCAGAUACUUGCUCAUUUGUGUUACAUGCUUCAGGUAUUAUUAUUAUUAUUAUUAUUAUUAUUAUUAUUUGAAUACUUUCCUUACCCCUGGGCCUCAGUACCUCCAAAGAUAUCUCUUUCCUUUAAUGAUUUUGCUAAUCAUAGAUGUUCAGGAAAAUAAUUAAUAGGACAGAGUAUCAAUUACAUUAAAACUCCAUUAUAAAAUGGAUUUUGAUAUUGCAUUGCAAACAUUAAUAAUUAGCAGAUAAUUAUAUUUUAGCCAGUUUAGAAUUUAUACUAUGGCAUAUUUUCACAGAAUAAUAUUGGCAUGGUAUUGGAGAAGUAUACAGCAAAAGAGAAUGGUAGCUGUGAGCAAGUCCUUCUCAGGUAGUAUUCCCAGAAGAUACUUCUUCCUGUGUAGUUAUCAUAACCUAGGGGGAAAUCCAUGACAAAACAAGGGAAACAUUUUAAAGGCUGCAUUUUAAAUAGUUCAUUUUGCACCAAAUGUUUAAAAAAGUAACCCAAAGUUAUAUGCAUCAAGUCAUGCUUAUUAUCUUCUUUUGUAUUGCUUGACUCACCUGGAACAGUGCGGCACUCUGAAGACAGGCCCAUGCUUGCUUUCAGGGCAUUUCUAACUGGUGAAACCAGUACCUGUCAAAAACUGUCAGGGAAUAACUCAAAUAAGCGCACACAUCAAAGAAAGUGCAGCAGCCUACAUUUCACAAGCCUUCCAGCUAUUCCAUAAAUGUGUCUAGAUUUUGGCUUAAUUUCUGGCAUUGAGUUCCUAGUGUCUGUCUGAAGUGUUCAAAGGUGUCAAGACACUCUUAAUUAUCUCAUAUCUU